CCUACGGGAGGCAGCAGUGGGGGAUAUUGGACAAUGGGGGGAACCCUGAUCCAGCGACGCCGCGUGAGUGAAGAAGUAUUUCGGUAUGUAAAGCUCUGUCAGCAGGGAAGAAAGAAAUGACGGUACCUGACCAAGAAGCCCCGGCUAACUACGUACCAGCAGCCGCGGUAAUACGUAGGGGGCAAGCGUUAUCCGGAAUUACUGGGUGUAAAGGGAGCGUAGACGGUUAAGUAAGUCUGGAGUGAAAGGCCGGGGCCCAACCCCGGGACUGCUCUGGAAACUAUUGAACUUGAGUGCAGGGGAGGCAAGCGGAAUUCCUAGUGUAGCGGUGAAAUGCGUAGAUAUUAGGAGGAACACCAGUGGCGAAGGCGGCUUACUGGACUGUAACUGACGUUGAGGCUCGAAAGCGUGGGGAGCAAACAGGAUUAGAUACCCUUGUAGUC
rnacentral:rRNA from 1 species